UACGGGGGGGGCAAGCGUUGUUCGGAAUUACUGGGCGUAAAGGGCUCGUAGGCGGCCCUCUCAGUCGGAUGUGAAAUCCCCAGGCUCAACUUGGGAACGGCAUCCGAUACUGGAGGGCUUGAAUUCGGGAGAGGGAUGCAGAAUUCCAGGUGUAGCGGUGAAAUGCGUAGAUAUCUGGAGGAACACCGGUGGCGAAGGCGGCAUCCUGGACCACGACUGACGCUGAGUGAGCGAAAGCCAGGGGAGCAAACGGG
rnacentral:rRNA from 1 species